CUUUUUAUCGGAAAAAUAAAUGGUUCGAAAAAUAUUCGUUCGACGAACGUAUUUCGUCGUCGUUUCAUCUCAAGCGAGAAGAAGAUCGAGGUUACCGCGAUUCUCUCCACGAUCUGUCGGUCGAGACGAUUCCAUCGAGCGAGAAAGGGAUCUCGAUAUUUAUCGAUUGUUCAACAGCUAUUCGAUUGCAGGCCGAGUUUUGUACACGGGACGGAGAAAAGUGGACGCGGCGACGCGCGAUGACGUGACAGUCGAAAACUGGGGAAUACUUAAGAGUCGCGACGCGCAAAGGCGAACCCGGAGAAAACCGUUUGAACGCUUCGCGGAAUAAAAUAGCCGGAUUCUCGCGAAAGGGAAAAGACGUGCCAGGCCAGACGGACUGACAGACGGAACGUGAAUAUCUGGGCUAACGAUUUCGAAAUCUCGUUACUAGAACUUUCUUCGGAAACGGAUUGCCCCCUUGCGAUAAAUCAUUUCCAACGAAGUGAACGUAACAGAGGGAAAUUUGAAGUUGGCUUCUAGAGCCAAUUUCAUUUGACAAACUUAUCGCUUUUACUGAAGAGGGAUGCGAUAUUUAAACAUAUCGAGUAAUCGAAAUUUUAUCGUACUGGAAUGUUUUUUUCUCGAUAUUAAGGUGGUAAUAUCUAUUGUAAAGUUUCUGAUUGCGUAAAUGAAAUUAUACGUAAGAGAAAUUAUAGUAUCAUCCAGUAAAAAUAUCAUCUAGUAAAUAACAUCAACUUUAUUUUUCAGCAAGUACCAAUGAAAAAGAAUCAAAUCAGCGAAAAUCCACGUAUAGCGUCAUCUAAUAAAUGACAUCAAUUUUACUUUUCAUUAAGUAUUAAUGAAGAUGAAUUACUAGUGCCUCAAAUCGAUGAAAAUACAGUAUCAUCUAAUAAAUAACAUACACUUUAUUUUUCAUUAAGUUAAUGAAGAUGAAUUACUAGUGUUUCAAAUCAGCGAAAAUCCACAUAUAGUAUGUUAGCUAAUAAAUAACAUCAAUUUUAUUUUUCAGCAAGUACCAAUAAAAAUAAAUUACUAAUGGCUCAAAUUGGCAAAAAUCCAUGUGUAGCAUGUCAUAAUAGAUAACGUCAACUUUAGUUUUUAAGUGUCAAUAAAGAUGAAUUACUAGCGUUUCAAAUCAGCGAAAAUCCACAUAUAGUAUAAUUUAAUUUAAAUAACAUCAACUUUAUUUCUCACAAAGUAUUAACGAAGAAGAAUUAAUAAUCUCUCAACGAAAAUCCAUGUAUGGUGUCAUCUAAUGAAUAACAUGAAUUUUAUUUUUCGUUAAGUAUUAAUGAAAAUGAAUUACUAAUGUCUUAAAUCGGUGAAAAUCCACAUAUAGUGUCAUCUAAUAAAUAACAUCAACUUUAUUUUUCAGCAAGUACCAAUGAAGAUGAAUUAUUAACGUCUCAAACCAAAAUGUAUAGUAUCAAAUAACUUUACUUUUCACUAAGUACCAACAAAGAUGAAUUACUAGUGCCUAAAAUCCAGCUACUCACAUCGAACUAUAUAAUCGCGACGGACGCGAAAUAGAAAUGCAAACCACGUUCGAAGAGGAGGUUCUCUGAUCGACACUCCCGUAGUAACAUGGACGCUCACGCCGACCGCGACGACAGAAGCGUCGAGGAAGACGCACGCAAGCGGAGGAGCUAGCGCCAGCAGCUAGCAACUUCUCGACGCUGACUCGUGGUGUCAACAACCUCGUCGUUACUCGUGCCAAACGUAGCCGCAGCUACGCUGACUUUUACCCUACGUUCCACCUCCUCUCGUCGCCGUCGUCCAUGUGUCGGCUUCUGAUUCUUUUCACCAGCGAUGGCAAUCGAUCGCGACAUCGUAAUAAUUUCGUUCCACUAAGCGAGCGAGUCGUUGCAUGAAAAGUAAGGCGUUGCGCGGAAAAAGUCUGACGUAAAUCCAUUGUGCAACGUUCUCGCGAUUAACGAUAUUCCUUGUAUUUGCAUUGACGUUUCGCGCCGUGCAUUGUGUGCAUCGAUGUCGGAAACUUAAUUGAUGACAAUUCUGAGUCUUCCUGGACUGAGCUAAUUGACGAUGAGUCUUCCUAAGAUGAACUAAAAUGAAUUUCGUUGAUCUCCAUUGUUUGACACUCGAUGUUGACUUUUAUAGCAAAGUAGGAAUCAGGACACGUUGUACAAUAGCUUCAAAUUGUAGAGGUUAUGAUUUGAAACAUGGUAGACAUAUUAGUCACGUUGGUUGAUUAUUUGAGUUAGGCGUUUCUCUUUCUAACAAUAUGUUAUAUUAUCUACACCGGACAGUUACGCUUUCUUGGCACUGUUCAGUUUUUGAAUAACUUGAUUGUACGAACAUAAUUAACGUCACUCGGUGUAAAUCUAAAUAUGUGUAAAAUUUGCAGGAAAGAAGCCAUACACCGCCAAUUCACUCUGAAAGUUCUUUCUCGAGUUAUCGACAACCGACGAGGCAGAGUCAAGAGUCCUAUCGAAAUAAGAGCAGAGACCAAGGAUGCUGAAACGCUUGUCGCGGCCAGUAGCAAUCGACUUUCACUGUUGCGUUCGGCGAAUGAUGCGCCGUGUUAGAUAAAAGCAUGCUGGGUCGGUCGGCAAAAGCCAACGCUGCGAUCAACCGGUUUUCAUCCACGCUGGCAACGCUUGUCCCCGCGUUUAGAGCAGUGGAUGCAGCGCGCCGCUUCUCUCUCGCAUUAUGCAAUUCGACUAAGACGUUACCUCGGCUUACGUAUGUACGUAUCUAGAGUUGGAGAACAUUUAAGAAACUACCGAGAGAGGAAGAUACAGCGGCGCUGCGUGUCGUUUCGCGUCGCGUGAAAACGAUCAGCUAUUGCACGUGACUACACGUGCGUACAGAUGUCGUAUCCCAUUUGCCUCGAAUCUUAUUAAAUUUCCUAUUAAAGGAACGUUGAUACAUUAAAUGCAAUUUACGACAUUUGUCCGUGGCCAUUCCAUGCUUCCUGAUCGCUUUCUCAUUGAGCAAAAAAGUGCCUCCGGUCCUUGAACGUAAGAACGCCCCGUUAAAACAUUUCAAGCUUACACCUUGAUAUUUGCGGAAAAGGUCGUCGCCAGGCCGACUCGAAACACGAAAAUGUUCUUUCGCUUCAUUUAAUUUGAAAGUCAGAUUCCUGCGAGCGGCGAUUAUUGCAGUCUAAAUGGACGUUGACGAUCGAUCCAUAGAUCCAUGGGUCCACGAAUGAAUAUGGAACGCAGAAUUUUUACAGACGGAUGCAACUUUUAUAGACGAUUGGAAAGAUUUCAUUAAGGAUGACGAAUGGAGGAUAAAAUGAUUCACCAUGUCCCCGUGAACUGAUGGUAAUAUCUGCUGGCUCGCAUAAAAGACGGCGCAGCUGAUCUAUACGCAACUCUUUGCGUUGUUUCGCAAAUCUCCAAACUAGAAUUUAUCUACGUGGGUGAUUUGUCAGGACUGAUUAGUCGUGCGCAUUUGUUAAUUUAAAUUAAUUAAAAUAAUUAUGUCAGCCGGGGCGUGUAAUUCUUUGAAUCGAGCCUGAUACGCCUUGGACGGUUCCGGUGACACUCCGGCUGGAUAUCACUGGCAUACAAAACACCCGAACGAUAACGGUAACUCGAAGAAGAAGAAGAAGAAAAAAAAAAACACUCGAUACCUGACUACUCUUUGUUCGCGAAAAGACCUACAUCAUUUUGAAUAAUUUUCAGGGAAAGUGAAAGAACAACGUUAUAAAACUGAUAAAUCUUUGACUCGAUUGUUUCAAUAAUACGUGCUUUUCUUUUUUUAAUAAUUUUCAGACUAAAGAACAGCGAUACUUCAUAUACGAGAAUGCAGCCAGCUCGAUCAAUCACACGAACUGUAACGCUGCUAUUUUCACCCCUCGCUCUCAUCGCUCGGUCUCCAUCUGGCAUUCAUAUCUCCAGCUAUCCUUGGGCUAGAGACUCCCGCAUACUUGCCCGCCAACGGAUAACGCGUUUCCAAGUAUAUAUCGAAGCAAGCCUUCGAGUUUUUUUCACCAAAAGGUUGAUUAAAUCAACGAGGGAGAGAGAGGAGAACAAAGAAAAAUCACACAUGUCGUCACGAACGAAGUAAAUAUAAAGCAAGAUUGAGAGAGAGAGAGAGAUUCAGGGCAAGGUAAUGAGAGAACUACCAGGAGGAGGAGGACGACCGGUUGUCCUACUCGAAUCGCUCUUGGGGCUUAAGGAGAUCAACGAGCCGAAUAUUAAUCAGCAAGAGGCGCGGCACCUGCAUCCUUGGGGCACGUCGAGGUACAUACGUAAUACUGGCUGCCACCGCAGUAAACCAUCGCACACCGUGGCGCACUCUUACCGUUAUCCGGAAGGUGUUUGUGCAUUAGCCAUCCGGCACGACGACAUAAGCCCCCGGCUUCCUCCUCCAGCAUCGUAUUUGGAUGGCCCUGGUCUCGCGCGCGCUUAGGCUCGUCACGUUGAACCACCAGCUCAUGAAAGUUCAUCGAAGUCUUCCGCGUAUUGUAUCUUCCGUCCUUCGUCGUAUCACAUGCAAACAAGAUGCAAAUAGAGAGACAGAUUUGAAAAUAAAUCGGUCGAGGAAAUAUGCGAGUAGAGCAGCAAGUCCUCCAUGAUUAUACUCUUUCAACCGAGAACAAAUCAAUGAUCGAUCACUUAAAUGGUUUUAUUACAUCACAUUUUAGGAAUGUCAAUAGGAAUGAAUUCUUCAGCUUCGAUUGACUCGCAUGCAAAUUGGCAUCAGACUGGAAAUGCGUUGAGAUGAAUAUGCAAUUUUAAUACUUCCAAAUUUAAUAUUUUUUAUCUGUGUGAAUCGUGUUCACAGAUGACUUUCAUUCAGCGUGAGGAAAAUUUAAAGCACGAAUUUAAAAAAAAAAAAUGAAAGAGCAAAUUUACUUUAAUGGUAGUUAAAAAUAUUAAUGAUUUUACUUAACACGUUCCACCGGAACGAAUGUUCACAGUGUUCACGGAUCACUUUCAUUCAGAGGGAAAAUUGAAGUGCGAGUUUAAAGAAAUUAAAUCGAAUAAAAAAUGUUCACAGUUACGCCAAGGUCGAUCAACCUACGAUAUCUCGACAGACUUUUUCCGUCACGGACACGAGCGUAAGCAUAGAUACCAACCAAUACGGCAGUACGAUUUAUUCGAGAAACUGGAUUAAACUAAGCGAGAAAGUUCCGUUGUCCGUCGAAAGUGUCUGAGAGGCAUUAACAUGCGCCUCUCUGCGCAUUGAUUGGAACCGUGUCUUUGGAAAUUCCACGUUGAAUUGGAAUAUCCCCUCCCCCCGUAUUCGUUUCUUCAAAUCUAGAAAUCACGGACGUGUCAAACACGGAAGGAGCGCAGAACAGCUUUCAGAAACGCGAACGGAUGAUGCAACUGAAGAAAUGUCAAUCAUUCUGUUCAAUUCAGCUGUGGACAAAGCAAUUUACUCUUUUGGUUUAGGUUUAAAUUAAGUUUAGGCCAUAUUUGUACUAACUAAUUUUAUUUGUUUUAUUUAUUAUACCAAUUGGUUUCUCCAAAGUAAGUAUCUGCUUUAAGUCUAAACUUAAAUUUCAGCUGUGCAUAAAGCAAUUUACUCUUUAUGUUUAAGUUGGAUUUAGAUCAAGUUUAUACUAACAAAUUUUACUAACAACUUUUGGUAUUAUAUCAAUUUCUCCAAAGUAAGUAUCUGCUUUAAGUCUAAACUUAAACUUCAGUUGUGCAUAAAGCAAUUUACUUUUUAGAUUUAGGUGAGGUUUAUACUAACUAAUUUUACACUUUUAUACCAAUUUCUCCAAAGUAUCUGCUUUAAGUCUAAACUUAAACUUCAGCUGUGCAUAAAGCAAAAGAACUUGCUCUUCCGGUUUAAGUUAGGUUUAGGUCAGAUUUAUACUAACUAAUUUUACACUUUUGGCAUUGUACCAAAAUUGCCCAAAAGCUUCACGCCAACGACCAAUUAAAGUAGCCACCGCAGUGAUAAACCUUGCGAGAACUGAGAAUGUAAAACAGGGUGGUGUUCGUCGGAGCUAGGUGUCACGAUGAGUCACGUUGCUCGCAAGUACUCGACCUUCGCCCUCCCCUUCCAGCUAUCUCCGUUAUUUUAUAUCGAAUAAUCGCCUCGACCACACGAUUAUUGUUAUUAUUAUUAUCAUCACGUUACGAUCGGUCAGUGUUCUGCAUAUCGUACGCUGACUGUGUGCGAAAACAGUCGCACCCGCACGAAUUCGACGAAUUUUGAUGAUUAUGGCGCGACGAGAACAAUAGCAAAUGGGACAGUGAUUUUUUAGAAGUGGAAUGUUUAAUUUUUCUUACAUCUUACGUUUCCGUGGAAUUAUUUAUAUGCCUACG